AAAAAGUCGAGAGUUGCGGUCGACCUAAUACAUGAAGUCGAGGGGCAUGCAUUAUCGCUUGCGAUAGAUGGCGACCGGCGAACGGGUGCGUAACGCGUAUGCAACCUACCCAUUACCGGGGGAUAGCCCGAAGAAAUUUGGAUUAAUACCCCAUAGUAUUAUAUGAUGGCAUCAUUAUUUGAUUAAAGAUUUAUUGGUAAUGGAUGGGCAUGCGUUCCAUUAGCUAGUUGGUACGGUAACGGCGUACCAAGGCGACGAUGGGUAGGGGUUCUGAGAGGAUGAUCCCCCACACUGGUACUGAGAUACGGACCAGACUCCUACGGGAGGCAGCAGUAGGGAAUAUUGGUCAAUGGGCGAGAGCCUGAACCAGCCAUGCCGCGUGCAGGACGACGGCCUUCUGGGUUGUAAACUGCUUUUAUACAGGAAUAAAAAGUGCCUGCGGGCGAAAUUGCAUGUACUGUAUGAAUAAGCACCGGCUAACUCCGUGCCAGCAGCCGCGGUAAUACGGAGGGUGCAAGCGUUGUCCGGAUUUAUUGGGUUUAAAGGGUGCGUAGGCGGUUAUUUAAGUCAGUGGUGAAAACCCUGAGCUCAACUGAGGGCUUGCCAUUGAUACUGGAUAACUUGAUUACCGUACAGGUAGGCGGAAUUUAUGGUGUAGCGGUGAAAUGCAUAGAUACCAUAAAGAACACCGAUAGCGAAGGCAGCUUACUGGAGGGUAAAUGACGCUGAUGCACGAAAGCGUGGGUAGCGAACGGGAUUAGAUACCCCGGUAGUCCACGCUGUAAACGAUGAUCACUCGAUGUGUGCGAUAGACAGUACGCGUCCAAGCGAAAGCGUUAAGUGAUCCACCUGGGGAGUACGACCGCAAGGUUG
rnacentral:rRNA from 1 species